rnacentral:rRNA from 1 species
CGUAGGGACCUAGCGUUGUCCGGAAUCAUUGGGCGUAAAGCGCGCGUAGGCGGCCCGGUAAGUCCGUUGUAAAGUCGAAGGCUCAACCUUCGAAAGCCGAUGGAUACUGCCGGGCUAGAGUCCGGAAGAGGCGAGUAGAAUUCCUGGUGUAGCGGUGGAAUGCGCAGAUAUCAGGAGGAAUACCCAUAGCGAAGGCAGCUCGCUGGGACGGUACUGACGCUGAGGCGCGAAAGCGUGGGGAGCGAACAGGAUU